rnacentral:rRNA from 1 species
UUGGAGGGCAAGUCUGGUGCCAGCAGCCGCGGUAAUUCCAGCUCCAAUAGCGUAUAUUAAAGUUGUUGCAGUUAAAAAGCUCGUAGUUGAAUUUUCGGGAUCAAAUGUUUCGGUCAUGCCCGUUGGUAUGUACUGAUAUUAUUGGUUUCUCACCUUCUAAAGAACCGUAAUGCCAUUAAUUUGGUGUCACGGGGAAUUAGGACUGUUACCUUGAAAAAAUUAGAGUGUUUAAAGCAGGCUCACGCUUGAAUACAUUAGCAUGGAAUAAUGAAAUAGGACAUCCGAUUCUAUUUUGUUGGUUUCUAGGAUCGAUGUAAUGAUUAAUAGGGAUAGUUGGGGGCAUUAGUAUUCAAUUGUCAGAGGUGAAAUUCUUGGAUUUAUUGAAGACUAACUACUGCGAAAGCAUUUGCCAAGGAUGUUUUCAUUAAUCAAGAACGAAAGUUAGGGGAUCGAAGACGAUCAGAUACCGUCGUAGWCUUAACCAUAAACUAUGCCGACUAGGGAUCGGAUGAUGUUAAUUUUUUAAUGACUCAUUCGGCACCUUACGGGAAACCAAAG